UUUAACACACUGGAAGUCCAACGGUGAAGCAGAUAUUGCUCUGUGGAUCAGUGGCGAACGGGUGAGUAACACGUGAGCAACCUGCCCUGGACUCUGGGAUAAGCGCUGGAAACGGCGUCUAAUACUGGAUACGAGACGUGGCCGCAUGGUCAACGUUUGGAAAGAUUUUUUGGUUCAGGAUGGGCUCGCGGCCUAUCAGCUUGUUGGUGAGGUAAUGGCUCACCAAGGCGUCGACGGGUAGCCGGCCUGAGAGGGUGACCGGCCACACUGGGACUGAGACACGGCCCAGACUCCUACGGGAGGCAGCAGUGGGGAAUAUUGCACAAUGGGCGAAAGCCUGAUGCAGCAACGCCGCGUGAGGGAUGACGGCCUUCGGGUUGUAAACCUCUUUUAGCAAGGAAGAAGCGAAAGUGACGGUACUUGCAGAAAAAGCGCCGGCUAACUACGUGCCAGCAGCCGCGGUAAUACGUAGGGCGCAAGCGUUAUCCGGAAUUAUUGGGCGUAAAGAGCUCGUAGGCGGUUUGUCGCGUCUGCUGUGAAAACUGGAGGCUCAACCUCCAGCCUGCAGUGGGUACGGGCAGACUAGAGUGCGGUAGGGGAGAUUGGAAUUCCUGGUGUAGCGGUGGAAUGCGCAGAUAUCAGGAGGAACACCGAUGGCGAAGGCAGAUCUCUGGGCCGUAACUGACGCUGAGGAGCGAAAGGGUGGGGAGCAAACAGGCUUAGAUACCCUGGUAGUCCACCCCGUAAACGUUGGGAACUAGUUGUGGGGACCAUUCCACGGUUUCCGUGACGCAGCUAACGCAUUAAGUUCCCCGCCUGGGGAGUACGGCCGCAAGGCUAAAACUCAAAGGAAUUGACGGGGACCCGCACAAGCGGCGGAGCAUGCGGAUUAAUUCGAUGCAACGCGAAGAACCUUACCAACGCUUGACAUAUACGACAACGCUGCAGAAAUGUAGAACUCUUUGGACCCUCGUAUACAGGUGGGGCAUGAUUGUCGUCAGCUCGUCUCGUGAGAUGU
rnacentral:rRNA from 1 species